rnacentral:rRNA from 1 species
UAGGGAAUAUUGGACAAUGGGGGCAACCCUGAUCCAGCCAUGCCGCGUGAGUGAAGAAGGCCCUCGGGUUGUAAAGCUCUUUUGUCCGGAAAGAAAAGCUUCGGGUUAAUACCCCGGGGUUCUGACGGUACCGGAAGAAUAAGCACCGGCUAACUUCGUGCCAGCAGCCGCGGUAAUACGAAGGGUGCAAGCGUUACUCGGAAUUACUGGGCGUAAAGCGUGCGUAGGUGGUUGUUUAAGUCUGAUGUGAAAGCCCUUGGCUCAACCUGGGAAUGGCAUUGGAAACUGGGCAGCUAGAGUGCGGUAGAGGGUAGUGGAAUUCCCGGUGUAGCAGUGAAAUGCGUAGAGAUCGGGAGGAACAUCUGUGGCGAAGGCGACUGCCUGGACCAGCACUGACACUGAGGCACGAAAGCGUGGGGAGCAAACA